UGACAAGCAGAAAGAAUUAACUCAGCAAGGCAUCAGAGAAAAGGCAGUGCACAGGGUCCUACAAGAAAUUCACUCCGUAACCAUGACCAUACUGUGUCCCCAAGGAUUUCUGUGACACCAUGUGUUGUUUCUAACUCUGGAUGGCAGCCAUUGGAUGCCAAGGAUAAGAGACAUGUGGCUAUACCCUCCAGGACUGAGGGUAAACUCAAACUAAAGCAGCAGAGAUCUAUGUGUUUGCUCUGCCAAUGCAGUCACUACAUUCCCAGGGUGUGUUGUGUUGUGAUGUUUCAGUUACUCCUAAGCCCUACUUAUACCUGGUGCUAACAUGAGUCCUUUGUCCUGAUCUUGUCUAAAUUCUAAUUGUGCCUUCAUUUCCAGAAAUGUGUCUACACAUGGUAUUAAAAUGUGUCUGCUAUCUG